rnacentral:rRNA from 1 species
GUGUGUGGCACCCCGAAGGCACCAGAUCAUGUCCUAUGUCAGAAACUGGGUGGGGUUGGGCCUGGUUAGUGCUCGGAUGGGAAAUCACUUGAGAAUACUGGGUGCCAUAUGCU